UGGCAUUCUACAACAAAAAUAAUUUUACACAGUGCCCCAAAUUUAUGACUAUGCUUGUCAAUAUAUUUUUAUUUAUAUUUCCCAAGAAAAUUUUUUUAAUCAAUGCAUAAAAAGCUAAUGUUGUUUUUCCUAAUGGACUUCAAUUUGAUCAAAUUUCCUCAUGAAAGUUUUCAAAUUCAAGGAUACCACAUUCAAAAUCAAAUACAAUACCAUCUGACCAAUUAUUUUAUAAAUUUGGAGAAGCAUAUACUUGAUAUUUAUUGUGUAAAGCUUAAGUAUAAGUCAUUUGGUAAAAAGUUAAGCAUCUUAUGAACUAUAUUAUCAGGACACUUUGUUUUUAAGCAGUCAGGAAGUGUUGCCACUCUAAGACAUGACACAACAUGGCUUGACACUCUACUUUCAAGUGUUCUACUGACUUUAGCAACAAAAAAAAAGGUUCUAAGCACUAUUUUCUGAAGUAUCAUGC
rnacentral:lncRNA from 1 species